GAUGAACGCUGCCAGAAUGCUUAACACAUGCAAGUCCACUUGUUGCGGACGCGUGAGUAACGCGUAAAGAACUUGCCUCACAGCUUGGGACAACAUUGGGAAACGCAAGCUAAUACCUGAUCCUGUGAGAGCGCUUUGCGUCCCAUUAGCUAGUUGGAGUGGUAACGGCUCACGAAGGCGAUGAUGGGUAGCCGGCCUGAGAGGGUGAUCGGCCACAAGGGGACUGAGACGCGGCCCUUACGCCAACGGGAGGCAGCAGUGGGGAAUAUUGGACAAGGGACCAAAGUCUGAUCCAGCAAUUCGGUGUGCACGAUGAAGUUGUCGGAAUGUAAAGUGCUGUCAGUUGGGAAGCGGUACCAACAGAAGAAGUGACGGCUAAAUACGUGCCAGCCGCCGCGGUAAUUC
rnacentral:rRNA from 1 species